AUUGAACGCUGGCGGCAGGCCUAACACAUGCAAGUCGAGCGGAUGAAGGGAGCUUGCUCCUGGAUUCAGCGGCGGACGGGUGAGUAAUGCCUAGGAAUCUGCCUGGUAGUGGGGGAUAACGUCCGGAAACGGGCGCUAAUACCGCAUACGUCCUGAGGGAGAAAGUGGGGGAUCUUCGGACCUCACGCUAUCAGAUGAGCCUAGGUCGGAUUAGCUAGUUGGUGGGGUAAAGGCCUACCAAGGCGACGAUCCGUAACUGGUCUGAGAGGAUGAUCAGUCAAACUGGAACUGAGACACGGUCCAGACUCCUACGGGAGGAAGCAGUGGGGAAUAUUGGACGAUGGGCGAAAGCGUGAUCCAGCCAUGCCGCGUGUGUGAAGAAGGUCUUCGGAUUGUAAAGCACUUUAAGUUGGGAGGAAGGGCAGUAAGUUAAUACCUUGCUGUUUUGACGUUACCAACAGAAUAAGCACCGGCUAACUUCGUG
rnacentral:rRNA from 1 species